UCAGAGCCAGCGGGCGUGGCCAAGAGCGCGCCGACAUGUUGUACGGAAGCCGAAGCAGCUAGCCCCCGUGGGCGGGACUGCGUAGCGCCGCCACGUUGUACGGCGGCCUCCGGGAGACGAUAGCUGCUUCUCUCCUGACCUGGUCGUGAGCUGCUUCCUUCCUUCCUUCCAGGGCUAGGGGUUGGAAUGGAGACCAGUAUAGAAUACCAGUGUUGUUGAAUAAAUGAAUGAAUUUACUUGGAAAAUGUUCUCUGUAUUUCUAGAGAGACUUGGCUGGGCAGGCAGAGUGGACAGUGAGAGAGAGAGACAGAGAGAAAGGUCUUCCUUUGCCGUUGGUUCACCCUCCAAUGGCUGCCGCGCUGCAGCCGCCGCACCGCGCUGAUCCGAUAGCAAGAGCAAGUUUCUUAACACCCCACUGGAGGAAGCACCAAGAAAUCCUGGCGUAUUUCCUAAAACAGUGAUAGACAAGCCCAUUCUGGCCCUAGGAAUAGCUGAUGAGGCACAAACCAAGACUGGGCCAUGAUGAAGCCAGGAAUCAGGAGCUCCAUAUGGGUUUCCCAUGUGGGUGGCAGAGAUCCAGUACUUGAACCGUCACCUUUUGCCUCUCAGGGAGCACAUUAGUAGGAAGCUGGAAUCAGAAGCGGAACUGAGACUCCAACUCUGACGUGGAAUGCAGGUGUCCCAAGCAGGAAUUUGGAGGGGCAGAUCUGUGGCCACUAUUAGCAAAUGGAACCAGCAUGAGUUCCAACUUGGAAAGAGUCAACAUGGAAUAAGUGAAUCGUAAGCCUGAAGUGGAAAUGGGUUAUUUUGUGGGCCAUGGGCAGCAUUCAACCAGGUGAGUUGAUAGAGAUACUGCUGACUAAGGCAGCAGGGGCUCUGUUCACUCUGCUUCUGCUGGGAAUUGCUUUCUGCAAACUUUCAACUCACAGGCUGGUUCCUGCAUGGCAAACAUGGGUCAUAGGACUCGCUCUUCUCAGGAGACUCUAUGGUGAGUAGAUCAGGGCAUGUCUCCUACAUCUAAUUUUUCUAAUAAAGCCACACUUAGAACAUGUGGAUGGGUAAGUUUUAGCAUUAUUUGCUUUUCUCCUCAGGUACUUAGGGGAUGCCCAUGUGACACCUAGAGCAUAGGUUCAAAAAUAGAAAAAUCCAAUUUACUAGUUAUAUCUUUGGGACAGUACCAGGCACAGGGCACAUCUGAAUUUUUACUGAAUUUGCUAAAUUAAUACAAUGACUUUAUGAACUCCACAGUAAUACUUCCCAGUGUGUUAUUACGGUAUUUGUUCAGAGCUGAAACCUAACUCUUCCUCUAGGUGUUUGAUUGCAUGAUAUCACUCAACUCUGAGCUCCUGUAGGGGACGGCCAGUCACGUAUUAAUGCAUGUGAUCUUCAGACACAGCUGAUGUUCCUUAGAAGAUUGUAGAACAGAAUUGAUGGUACAGGGAUCCACAGACUUUCUGCUUUCCUUUCUGGAAACUGGGGUUUGGUGGGGGGGACCAAGGAAUAUGAUUAAAUUACAGAUGAGAAAGGGCCUCAGAGAUCACCUAGCUCAACAUCUUCAAAGUAAGAUCUAAAGAGGUCAGUCAUGUGUCAAGGUCACUUAGUUGGUGACAGAGCCAGACAUAGAUGCCAUAGAAACUAGCAUUUAUCAGAAGCUUCUAGAAGACUGGGCAUCAUGCAAGACCGGCACUGUUCUGUACAUAUCCGUUGAGCCUCAUGAGGCCAACAGCACUUGAAAUGUGUCAGAGGAGACUGAGAAACAGAACCUUAGAGUUUGCUUCAUUUUCAUUUAAAAUCCAAAUCCUUUUUCAUUCAUGACAACUUUAUUGCUUUGUUAAUGAUGGCAGUGAUCAUUAAAAAUUUAGUGGCUGAACCAACCAGUGCUAUCCAAGUUAAAAUACACACUGGAUUUCAAAGAUUAGAUGAACAAAAUCUUAUUAAUUUUUAUGCUGAUUUUAUGCUAAAUUAUAAUAUUUGGGGUAGAUUAAGUUGAGUAAAAUAUGGUGUUAAAAUUAUACUCACCUGUUUCUUUUUACUAAUUUUUAUCAUGGCUACUUGAAAAUUUCAAAUGACAUACAUGGCUUGUGUUUUAUUUCUAUUGGGCAAUGUGGUUCUGGACUCUCGACAGGUAGUAUUUCAUUUAAUCCUCACAACAACCAUCUCCAUUUUUCUCCAGUUCAUGGAUGAGGAAACUACGACUGAGAGGGGCUAAAGUAUUUGCAGACUCAACAUGACAUCAGGCUGUUUGGCUUGGAAGCCCUUAUUCUUUCCAGAAACACUUCUCCCCAGCUUCUUUGCACCAGCCAGACAGUACCCAGAUACACUGUACUUAAGCUGAAUUACAGAUUCUAACGCAGUGAUUCACUACAGGAAAGGGCAGAAUUCCUUUGACAAAUUUAAGGUAGCUGACUUUAAUGUUUGGGGGUUCUGUUUCAUGGUUGUCUCCUUCAAAAAAUUCUGAAAACAAGAAGUAUAUAGUUAAUUUAUUGAGAGAGAGAAAGAGAGAGAGAGAGAGAAAAUCUUCCACCUGCUGGAUCACUCCCCAAAUACCUGCAACAGCCAGGGCUGGGCAAGGUUGAAACCAGGAGCCAGAAACUCAACCAGGUCUCCCUGGGUGACAGGGACCCCACCACUUGUGCUAUCACCUGCUGCCUCCCAGGAUGCACAUUAGCAGGUAGCUGGACUCGAGAGCGAAGCCAGAACUUGAACCCAGGCACUCUGAUAUGAUACAGGAGCCUCCAUGUGGGUUUCUAACCACUGUGCCAAUGCCAGCCUUAAGGAAAAAUUUUUUUUGCUUCAAUUUUCAAUGCUUUUUUUUUUUAAAGUUUCUAGCCAACAAUUAUGUUUGAUGAUAUACAAAGUUAGUUUGUCCUUUUCUAUUGAUUCACAUUUUUUAAAAGGUUUAUUAUUUAUUUGAAAGGCAGAGAGGAAGAGAGAGAGAGAGAGAGAGAGAGAGAGAGAGAGAGAGAGAGAUCUUCCAUCUGCUGGUUCACUCCCCAGAUGGCCACAACUGCUGGAGCUGAGUCACUCUGAAGCCAGGAGCCAGGAGCUUCUUCCGGGUCUCCCAUGUGGAUGCAGGGGCCCAAGGACUUGGACCAUCUUCACUGCUUUCCCAGGCCAUAGCAGAGAGCUGGAUCAGAGGUGGAGCAGCCGGGACUCUAUCUGGCACCCAUAUGGGAUGCCGGCACUGCAGGCUGGGGCUUUACUCACUAUGCCAUAGUGUCAGCCCCUGAUUCACUUAUUUUUCUAUGAGAAAUGAGUUACUUAUUUUGCAACUAAGUUAUUUGGAAAACAUUAAAAUAUUUAAUGUAUUUUGUAAUUGUAAUUUUGUAAUUGUAUUUUAAUAUUGCUCUGUCUUUAUUUCUAGUAUAGGACUGCUUUUCGCCUAGGCAAGAAAAACAAAACACAGUCUGGCAGCUCCUCUGUGUAAAGUAUAUUUCCCACCCAGGCAGCCUCAGGAUGAUAUCUUCUUGCUGCUAUUUGAGACAUGGAAAUUCUACCACAAUUUUGUUCUGAAUUCUAACAUUGGCCAGAUACAAAUACCUAACGAUGUGGCAAAAAAGUUCAGACACAUGAACCCAUAAACACUGCUUUUGAUGAAAGGGUAGUCGGAUUUCUCCAGUGCCCAAAUUCACUGGGAAUCUGUAUUUGAACAAGAGCCUCUGUUCUCUCCAGCUGUAAAAGGAGUUGGUAUAAUGUCACUGCAAUCGAGUUUAUUGUCAAUAGAGGGCACCAAAGCAUGAAAAAGUAAUUAUCGAUGGUUUUGGCUUAUUUCUUCAGCUCAAUUAGUAUUUAAAAAAUGAAAAAAGAAAAUCUUUGAAAGCAUGUGUCCAGCCUAGUAGUUAAGAGUUAAAAUGCCCAUGUCCCAUAUUGGAGGACCUGGGUUCAAUUCCUGGCUCCAGCUCCUAACACUCCCUUCCGCUAAUGCAGACACAAGGAGACAGUAGUGAUGGCUCAAAUAAUUGGGUUCCUGCCACUCAUGUGGGAGACCUGGGUUAAAUUUCCUGCUUCUGGUUUUGGCUUUGGUUCAGACCCAGCUGUUGCAGGCAUUUGGGGAGUAAAUCAGCAGAUGAGGGUUUUCUCUUUGUCUCUUAAAAUAAAUAAAUAAAUAUAAAUAAAUAACUUUAAAAACCUUUAAAAAGUCAUCUUUUCAUCUUGAAAAUGGAGGAUUCAGUACUUUUGUCCAUAUGUGUCCUUUCUGCCCAUUCAGGCACAGCUAAGCCAGAGCUCAGCCUGAAGCCAGUGUUUGGUGCAUGGGUGGUCUCAGAAAUCCAGGAGAAAAAAAAUGAUUCCUACUUUCUGCUUCCUACUCCUCCACCAGCCUCCCCACCCCCUCCCCCAGACUCCCGCAGGACAUGACCCAUGCUUCUCCAGUUAGAAUCCUCUCCAGCAGCUUGAUUUUCACAGGACUUUCAUGUGGUUAGCAAGAAUCUGUUUUUGUUGUUGUGCUGUUUUUUUGUUUUUUUUUUUUUUUUUGGAUUUGUUUCAUUUAUUUGAAAAACAGAGUUACAGAGAGAGAGAGAGAGAGAGGUUUUCCAUCUGCUGGUUCACUCCCCAAAUGGCCGCAAUGGCUGGAGCUGAGCCGAUCCAAAGCCAGGAACCAGCAGCUUCUUCCAGGUCUCCCAUGCGGGUGCAGGGGCCCAAGGACUUGGGCUAUCUUCUACUGCUUUCCCAGGCCAUAGCGGAGUGAUGGAUUGAAACUGGAGCCGCUGGGACUCGAAUCAGUGCCCAUACGGGAUGCCGGCACUACAGGCUGGGGCUUUAACCCUCUGUGCCACAGUGCGGGCCUGUUUUCUGGGUUUUGUUUGUUUGUUUUUUGAUUCUAGUUCCUGUCAAGGGGCAAGGCACAGCGUCAGUUUCUGGGGAUACCACAUAUUAAAACAGACCUGCUGAAUGCAGCCUGCCGUCUAGCAGCCAGCGGAGAUAGUCAUCCCGCAUCCCACAGACAUACAGCAGAAAGUCAUCUUACAAAAAGCAGUGUUUGAGCUGAGAUCAGAAUAGGUGUUAACUAGGAUAGCAAGGAGGCUGCAGGGAAAAGAUUCCAGGUACCAGGUCGCCAAGGUGGGUGAGCUUGGGAAAUGACAGAGCAGCUAAGGCUGGGCUGGAGGCCAAGUGAUAUCAUCCAGCGACUCUGGGGUCACGGCACAGAGUCUGGACUUGGUGGGAUGUGCAAGGCAAAGCCCUUCAUCCAUGGGUGAUGGGAUUAGAUUUACUGUUUUGAAAAGAUCUCUCCAACUGCUUUAUGGAGAGUGGCAGAUCAUAAGGAGGCUGCUGCAGCAGCUCAGAGGGGAAACCGUGAUGACCUGGGCCAGGGUGGAGAUGGUGGGUUGGAGAGACAGGACCAAGGAAUGAGCAGGACUCCACUGUGAAUCAAACACGGUGGUGAGGGAAAGAACUGCACUAAGGGUGAUUUCUAGGUUUCCGGCCUGCAAAGGGCUCACAGCUUGGGAGUUUCAAAGUUAGAGAAUACAGUUUGGGAAGUGUUGAGAGAAAUCAGGGACUUAAACACCAGAUGGUAACUUGUUGGGCAACCUUAGGCCCAGCUGUUGGUCUUUACACCAAAUCUCUGAACUACCCUGUAGUGAGUGAACAUUUCCAGAAGAGCUGGGAAUGAGCAGCAACGUUGCAGCAUGAUGUCUAUAUCCAAGGCCAGUAUCAAUGUACACAAAUGCAGAAUGCAAAGAAAAAGUUCUGGAAUAUAAUUAAAUCACUAACUGUCAUGUUUCAGGGCUGAGAUGAGAGGGAACGCCAAUUUGAAGUCCAGAUGUUACUGUGUUGUUUGAAAUUUUUUAAAGUAAGCCUUAAUUGGUCUUCUCAUUAGCAAAACUCAUAAAAUCACUGUCAUUUCCAAUAACAAGCUUUUCGCUUGGGAAAUGGGAAGCCCUUUGUGGAGUCCCAGUAAUCUCCCACCUCCAUUCAGUCUCUCUACUGGAAUUUAGAGAGCCUUUCCAUUUGGGAACCUUGUAGCCCCGGAGAGCAUAGAUUUCUCUCACUGCAGCUCAUUAGAGAUCCUCAGAAAAUCAACUUGAGGACCGGCUACAGAAGCCCUCCCAGCACCCUUUGAUCUUUGCAGCAGCAAAUGUGUCGUUUGUAGCACGAGGGUCCAGUUCUUCUGUGAGGCUAAAAUAGAGCCACUCCAAGACACUUUGGAGGCUCCCUGAACUCCUACUAACUACCCAUCUUUGUCCCAAUUGAUGUAGCAGUUCUGCCAUAUCCCCCAGGACGUCAUUUCCACUUGCUUGGUAAAUAAUUAGCCUGCUGCCUUUGGCUAUAGAAAGGAUUAUAAAUAUUUCAAACACUGCAAGUGAUUGAAACAGUCUCUAUUCGAAUUCAUCUAUGCCUGUGAUGCUUUGCGUGAAAAUUUGCCUCUAAGAGGGAAAAAAUCUUUGAGAAGAUGAACAAGCAGAGUAAGGUGGGGUGUAGGCUGCUGAGGUCAUUGGACACUCGGAAUCAGGCUAUCAGGAGCCAGCAGUUUGAACCUUCCAAUUUUAGCUCACACCUGUCAAUCUUUCUGAUCUCCAGAGAAAUAAAAGAUCCCACUUCUUAAGAGCACUUUUAGUCUUGCAAGGAUUAUUUUUAAAUAAACUUUAUUUUUCAGAGCAGUCUUAGGUUCACAGCAGAACUGAGUCCCCACACACCCAUGGCCUCCCCCACUAUUGAUACCCCAUACCAGAAUGGUACCUUUGUUACUACUGUCAGUGAAGCUACAUUGACACAUCGGUAUCACCCAGAGUCCCUAGUUCACAUCAAGGCUCUCUCUGGGCCCUGUGUAUUGUGUAUGUUUUGAAAAAUGCAAAUGGCAUGUGUCUAUCACUGUAGAGCACACAUUCCUCUCUCCCCAAGACUUCUGGCAACCACUGGUCUUUUUACUGUCUCUCUAGUUUUGCCUCUUCCAGAAUGCCUUAGAGUUGGAAUCCUUAUAGGAAUUUUAAAAAUAUUCCUCUCAAGUAAGUUAUAAGAACUUACAAGUUCUCAUUUAUAUAAUCGGUGAUACUCUUUACAGUAUGUUCUUUGUGGUUGCCAUGAAAACCCAUGGCUGCACUUAGACCCUGUCUGCAUCUGACCAGCACUUCAUGGACAGUUAGGUGAGAUCCACUGCCCUACACGAGGCAGGCAGCCAGCAGGAGACUGAUCUGUUGGGGUCGGGGGAGUCACACAGAGCCCUGCCGAGUGUUCUCUGCUCUUCCAAUGUAACUUCUUCAUUUUUUUUUUUUUAAGAUGUACUUGAAAGAGUUACAGAGAGGCAGAAGCAGAAAGAGAGAGAGAUCUUCCAUCCGCUGGUUCAUUCCCCAAAUGGCCACAAUGGCCAGAGCUGGGCCGAUCUGAAGCCAGGAGCCAGGAGCUUCUUCUGGGUCUCCCACAGGGGUGCAGGGGCCCAAGCACUUGGGCCAUCUUCUACUGCUAUCCCAGGCCACAGCAGAGAGCUGGAUCAGAAGAGCAGCAGCCAGGACCAGAAUUGACACCCAUAGGGGAUGCCAGCACUGCAGGUGGAGACUUAGCCCACUAUGCCACACUGUGUGUCCCCCCCCCCACUAUUUUUUGUGGUACAAAAAUUUUGAAAUCCACCCAUGUGCAGGGUAUUCAAAAAGUUCAUGGAAAAUGCACAUUAAAAAAACUAUAUAUGGAUAUUGAUUCAGAGGAUAACAGUACCAUGUUUCCAAAGUAAACAUUGUCUAUGCUUUUUUAAAAUAAAUUUUAUUUAUUUUUAUUUUUUAUUUGAAAAAGAUGAGAGCGAGCGGGGAAUUGAUCUUCAAUCUACUGGUUCACUCCUUAAAUGACCACAACAGUGAGGGCAGGGCCAGGAUGAAAGCAGGGCCCCAAAACUCAAUCUGAUUCUACCAUAUGGGUAACAGGAACCCAAGUACCAAAGCCAUCCUCUGCUCCCUCCCAGGGUGCACAUUAGCGGGACUUGAUCCAGGCACUCCAAUAUGGUAUGAGAGCUUCCAAGCAGUGACUUGACCACUGUGCCAAAUGCAUACCCUUGUCCUUGCUCUAUUGUCCUGAGAUAACCAUUGUUAAGUUUAACAUUUUGUGUGUAUCUUUACAUUCUAUAAAUGGGUUCAUGUGGGGAGCAACUAGGAGCAACUCGGACUAGACUAAGUUACUGGAAUUAAGACUUAUUCUAUGCAUCUGCUCUCCCACAAUAUGGCGCUGAGAAGGGAGAAACAGCUUCUACACAGCUGCCUCCAGUUCCACCAAUAAACUGUAGGACCUGCUCCUGAUUGGAGGAGAGCAGCGUACUUGGCGUGUGGGUAGCAGAGUUGGGAUUGGCGGAAGAGGACUAUAAAGGAGGAGAGAGACAACAUGCACCAGGAACAUCUAAGGGGAACAUCUAUCUGAAGGAACACCUGUGCAGCCCCCGAGAGAGCCGGCCAGCGGUGUGCCGCUCCCCCGCGGAAGUGGGGAAUGUGGCAGGGGGAACCGCCCUUCCACGGAGGUGGAAGGGAUGGUAGCCAACCCGGGAAGAACCAGCAGCAAACCCGAGGAGGGCCGAGCAGACAAAAGAACAGCGCAGGGUCCUGUGUCGUUCCUCCACGAAGACGGGGAGCGACAGGUUCAUCCUAUACUCACCACUUUGCAACAUGCUGAUUUUAUUGGACAUUUUAUCGUGAUCAGCUUUUCAUGUCAAUUCAUAAACAUCUGAUCUUUUUAAAGACAUGCAAAAAUGUGUUGACCCAAACCUCUAUUGAGGGCCACAUGAAUUAUUUCCAAAUAUUUGCUUUGAAACACCAGCAAUAAAGAUUUAUGUGCUUCUUUGCACAUCUUUUUGAUUAUCCCUAGGAUAAAUUCCUAGAAGUUAAACUUUUAGGUCAAAAGGUAAACAUUUAAAAUUUUGAUGCAUUUUGCCAAAUUAUACUCUCAACAAAAGUAUGAGACUAUAGUUUUCUACACGCAAGCCAAGACAAAGAACAUUAUUUUUUUAUCUUGCCAGUUUGCUAAGUAAAAAGUGUUUUCAUUUUUAGUUUUAAAUUUAAAUAUCAAGUUUAAUUUUUAUUUCAGUAUAGGUUACAUGGGGAUAUUAAGUUUGUACAAAUUCAGUGAGCUUUAUAGUUUUGAUAUGCAUAUUAAGUAUAUAUAUAUAUAUAUAUAUCCACUUUGGGAGGAUUUGUUUAUCUGUUAGGCCACUUAGGGCUGCAAAUAACAGAACAGGCCAAGUUACACACACACACACAGUGGGUGCUUCAAAAUAUUUCUGGAAAAUGGAAUUAAAAGCUAUUGUGCAAUUUUCUCAAUCUUUGGGUGGCACGGGUUGAUUAGUCCAGCAGAGCAGUGCACCAGCAGUCAUACUCUGUGUUUUGGCCCAGCUCUCCUUGCGGAGGCAAGACGGCUGCUGCAACUCCAGGCCGCACAUGCAAAUGUCACAAUAUCCAGUGGAAGAAGAGAGAUGGUUUCCUCCUGUCUGUUUCUGUCAAAUAUCUGAGGACAAAUCUUUCUUGAGUUCUUCCCCCCUCCCAUGACUUGCUCUCACGUCUGUUUGAUUAAAAUUCCCUCGGAUGGGAGCCAGCAUCUAAGUGUAGCAGGGGAAGCAGCCAGAUGGGAUGCUGGCACCCAUGCUAAGUUGACAAUUUGAGUUCUGGCUGCCCCACUUCUGAUCUAGCUUCCUGCUAAUGCUGCUGCGAAAGCAGCCAGUGAUGACCCGAGGACCCCUGCCACCUAUGUUGGAGACUAGGAUAGAUUGCCUGGCUCUUGGCUUCAGCCUGUUCCAGCCUUGGCUGUUGUGACCAUUUGGGCAGAGAAUCAGCAGGUGGAAGAUCUCUCUCUCUGUCUCUCCCUCUCUCUCCAUCACUCUGCCUUUCAGAUAAAUAAAAUAAAUCUUUAAAAUAAAAUAAAAUUCCCUCACAUGUCCAAAGCUGGUUAGCCAACAGUAAGAGGAGUGGGAACACCAUGAUGGAUCUAGAAGGAGAAAGAUUCCCUUUCUGCGGCUGGAGCUGAGGCCCAGCUCCCCGUCAUUCGUGGCUGGGCAGAGGAGCUCAGC